AUUUUAUACUUAAUUUUUUAGAAUUAAUAAAAUUAAAAGUAUUUUAUUGGGGUGAUAAAAAAAUUUAAUUAACUUUUUUUAUUAUUAAACAAAUAUUAUUGAUUAAAUUUUUUUAUUAAUAAAUAAAUUAUUAAUUUAAAUUAAAU
rnacentral:rRNA from 1 species